ensembl:lncRNA
GCUACAGUCCAUGGGGUCACAAAGAGUCAGACACAACUGAAGCAACUUAGCAUGCCUGCAUGCCAGUCCUUCAGAAGUGGGCAGGCUUGUCUCUAAUCCCAAUGCCUCACAUUGAGAAAGCACUAGGCCACUCCAGAAUUUCUUCUCACAGUCCUAUUGAUCAGGAGAAAUGUGGAGCAGAUGCAGACACAGGGAGAACUCUUUGUGAAGAUGAAGGCAGAGAUCAGGGUGAGGUUUCUACACACCAAGGAACUCCAGUGAUCACCAGCAGACCACCAGAAGCUGAGGAAGAGACGUGGGAGCAAUCUUCUCUGCACAGCCAGAAGGAACCAACCUUGCUGAUACCUUGGUCUUAGACAUCUGGCCUCCAG